rnacentral:lncRNA from 1 species
CUCCCAAGUGCUGGGGGUUAGAGGCACAAGCCACUAAGCCUGGCUUCCUUCCAAUCUUUUGCCAGGCUGGAGAUAGAGCCCAGGGUCUUAUGCAUGCCAGCCAGGUCCUUUUGUCGCUUCUGUCACUGGGCUUUAGUUACUUCCCACAACUAACUUGGACCUCAGCCAUCCGUGUGGCCACGCCCCAACAGGUUCGUAUUCUGAGGCGCAGGCC